ensembl:lncRNA
CUGAGGUGUUGUGUGAAUUGUAGGUUGCAAAGCGGAGAGCAAUUACAGUCCGCUUCGGUUCUUCACGUGUCAGUGUCCUAACCAUGCGUGGUUUACGGAUUGCCGUCUGGUGUGCCAAGCGUGAAUGGGUGGCAAUUUCGUGCCCUCUGGGUGGCCAGCACUAAGCAUGAAGAAAAUAUUGGAAAUGCUUUUCAGAUGGAAGGCAGUGGGACUCUUAUCUUCGCAGAUGACAGGAAGAUUUUUAAGAAGAUGCAUCGACUCCAAUUCUUACAUCUGACAAAUAUUUAAAUGAUUUUAAUAAAUCUCACCUGAAUUUCA